rnacentral:rRNA from 1 species
GACGAACGCUGGCGGCGUGCUUAACACAUGCAAGUCGAACGGAAAGGCCCUGCUUUUGUGGGGUGCUCGAGUGGCGAACGGGUGAGUAACACGUGAGUAACCUGCCCUUGACUUUGGGAUAACUUCAGGAAACUGGGGCUAAUACCGGAUAGGAGCUCCUGCUGCAUGGUGGGGGUUGGAAAGUUUCGGCGGUUGGGGAUGGACUCGCGGCUUAUCAGCUUGUUGGUGGGGUAGUGGCUUACCAAGGCUUUGACGGAUAGCCGGCCUGAGAGGGUGACCGGCCACAUUGGGACUGAGGUACGGCCCAGACUCCUACGGGAGGCAGCAGUGGGGAAUAUUGCACAAUGGGCGGAAGCCUGAUGCAGCAGCGCCGCGUGCGGGAUGACGGCCUUCGGGUUAUAAACCGCUUUCGCCUGUGACGAAGCGUGAGUGACGGUAAUGGGUAAAGAAGCACCGGCUAACUACGUG